rnacentral:rRNA from 1 species
GCCAGCAGCCAUAUCACCCUGCAACUCACAACUGGCAGCCUACUGAAGCAGGUGUGAGUGUGGUCAGUACCUGGAUGGGAGACCUCCAGGGAAGAAGUAGAUUGCUACUGGAA